rnacentral:rRNA from 1 species
AUUGAACGCUGGCGGCAUGCCUAACACAUGCAAGUCGAACGAGUGGCGGACGGGUGAGUAAGGUCUGGGAAACUGCCUGAUGGAGGGGGAUAACUACUGGAAACGGUAGCUAAUACCGCAUACCAUCGGAUGUGCCCAGGUGGGAUUAGCUAGUCGGUGGGGUAAAGGCUCACCUAGGCGACGAUCCCUAGCUGGUCUGAGAGGGUGACCAGCCACACUGGAACUGAGACACGGUCCAGACUCCUACGGGAGGCAGCAGUGGGGAAUAUUGCACAAGGGGCGAAAGCCUGAUGCAGCCAUGCCGCGUGUAUGAAGAAGGCCUUCGGGUCGUAAAGUACUUUCAGCGGAGAGGCGUUACCCGAAGAGGAAGCCACGGCUAACUCCGUGCCAGCAGCCGCGGUAAUUC